UUGUGCUUUCAGAGGACAGACUGCCAUUUUAAACUCAGUUAUGUCAAACAUCUAACAACGUAGCCCACAGUACGAAUCUUCUGAAAUGUGGAGGGUGUGACAGCAGAUCUCUGAUCCAUCACUGAAUUAUUUGAUAAACUUCAAUCAACAGAUGCAAGCAAGAUUCAUAAGAAGUUCCUUUGUAGGAAAGCCCAAACUCACCAAUAGUAAAUGAAAGCCUUCUGUGAAUAAAAUCCUGGAGAAAACUGUACUGCAACUAAAUUACAUGCUGGAUGAGCUUUGGCAAUGAAUCUCACAAAGUUCAUGAAAUUAUGACACACAGCUUCAAAAGGAACCAUGAAAAGUGAAGAAAGACCUGAGGUGUACACGUGUGGAAGCUUUGCACCUUGCAUGGUCACUGCAGCCCACCAGCCUGCACACAGAGGUGAAUGCGUCGUGAUCCGUGUCAUAGGAACCUCUCACUGAGUGAGAAGCUGUCAUUGCAGGAAAGGAACCAGCUGUGGGUUGGUGUACUUUGGGCAAUACAGCAGCAGGGAUCGUCAUGACCGAUGCGUGCAUCCAUGAGGAAGAGACGCAGACAUCUGAAGUGACACGUCCCUUAGCAGCACUGCAGUAACACACAAACUGGAGAACAAAAGUUGCAGGCGAAGGCCAACAACUCUUGCUGCCAGGAGAAACACAGCCCCAGUGAUCACUUCUGCGACAAAAGAGAUCCAGACCAGUGCCAGAGACCAGCCAAACCUGAUGUCAAUUUCUACCAGGACAUCCUUACUCCUCAGGAGGCAGACAGCUUCUUCAAAGGCAGCAGCUGAAUAUGCAAUGUAGACACCAAUCCCGGUAAGCGUAACCAGAGCUGGGUAAGAAAAACAUGUUCAGACAAUCACAAUUCACUACAGAAAGUAAAAAUCCUUAUGUAACUCUCUGGGCAUCCUUGCCAUACCUUCUUAUCUACCCAGGGCAGAUUAAGUUAGAUCGAGUUAAAAUUGUUCUUUGGGGAGGGGUGAGAGGAAAAUGAACUGUCAGGUCCUGACAGAAUAAAUACAAAAUGGUUGAACAGCAGUGUGUUAUUCUGAAAGCAAAGGCUUGCUCAACAUUUUUCUCCAGAAGGUAAAGUGAUGUUUUCCAGAUAUAAUCUCUUAUUAUUUAAAUCCAUUAAGCCAAGAGUUUGAUAUACUACCUCCAAAAAGGAAAAGCAGACCCGUCAUUAGAAGCAGUAGAUAUGCCCUGGCAAGAAUACUGAUAAAUCCAGUCAUAGCUCCAAAAAUCAUCAGUAUCAGGCUGAGAGGCAUCAGGAUGACAAAUGUCCCAUGCAUGUCUGAAGAAGAAAUGAAGAGUGUUAGAAUUGUAAUGUUUUACUAUCGUGUCUCUUGAUGCAUUAAUAAUUACUGAGUGCAGAUCCCCCACUCAGCAUCCAAGCCUUGUUCUGUGCAUUCAAAACAAGAAGCUGAACCAUUUCUGUGGCUUUCAGUUUAAACAGGCAGGGCAUGGUAUGGAGAAGAAGGUAUCAUAGGGUGAACCCUCCACGGUAUGUGAUUCUGAGACCAUGAUGAUAAAGGGUAUGUUAGUGCAGAUGUGUUUUAGCAAUAAAUAUCUACUUGGACACUAAGCCCAGCUGGAAAGCAGGUGGUGUGCUGGGUAUCUGUUAGUCACUUGCGACCUUAAGAAGUCAUGCUGGCUAUCUGAAUUAUAAGUAUCACAGUGAGUGGUAUUGUUCUGUUUGGGUGAUGGAGCCUAACCAACACUUUGGUUAAAUGCCUUCUGUCUAUCAUAUACCCUCUGCCAAACUGAUCUACCAAAUUGUUGACCUUUUCCAUUGUUGUAGCUGAACAACAAGUACAGGUACAUUUUCCCAUCCAGCUUUGAUUCUACAACUGUCAUUGUUUUCUACAGCAGCUUCACUAAGUACAUUAACCUAUGCUGGUUGCUUCCUCUUGUUAAUUUUUUUACAUUAGUCCUUAUUGAUCCCUGUAAUAUCUUAAUAGCUGUGUAAACAGAGGGUUGUUGUGUAUUCUUUCAUAUCGUGCUGUUUUCUCCACCAUAGACCAUCUUUGUCUCACCAUUCUUUCUCACACAAUCUAUCUAUAUUAUUCAACCCAAUGUUUUCUGGAAUAACUAAAACAAGUGCUCAGCUUCUGGUGUCUUAUUUCUUAGUAGAGUUUGAGCACAGUAGAGACCAAAGUUACUCAGAGCGGAAAACUUGCAUUAGCCUGUGCUUCAUCAUUUCCCAUCUGUCCCUCACCAAUCACAGCUGCUGCUAUCAAACCUGAGGGCAGUAGCACUAAUGGCGUUCCUUCGCUUUCCUGUCUGCAGUGGGAUUUUUGACUACUGCAGCUAGAACUGUAACCUUAGAUAGGACAAGUGCAGUGAAGAAGAUAAGACUAUUCAGAGCACUUACUUUUGAGCCAAAAGGAGAACGAAUCCAUACCAGAGUAUUAUCCUGGGGAGAGUCAUAAAGUACAUUAAUGAUCUGUGACGCUGCAUAGAGUGGCAGAGUAACUGAUUUUUUUUUAUUUUGCCAUCUGAAGCAAAAAUAUCUUUUAGGGGUAUCUCGGUUGAAACCCACAAACCCCAUGAAUCACCUGCAGCUCAUUAAAAAUCAAAUAUUUAACGGGCUGCAUUUGGUUAAACAGGACUUGUGUCACCUUCCAGUGUUCCAGUUCAGUACCUAAUACUCAUUUGUGCUGCUUCUAUGCAAUCUGCAACUGCCUGUGAAACUUAUUCUAAAAUGCUGCCAUGGAAACCACUCAGGAAUUUGAAUUCAUGCUGUCUGGCAUAUGAUAUUAUACUAUUAUAUUCCUUGAUUAGAGGGAGGGAAUUAGUUUAUAGGAGGACAUGACUUAAAAUAUCUUUACUGUAUUUCUGCUUUCAGUAAUCAUGUGUGGAAGAAGAUCAAACAUAAAUUUAGAGGUCAAACAUGUUGUUGUGUUUUUAGGUUGCCUUGGAAUACGCAGGUUGGUUUUGUAUUACAUGCAAAGCUUCAUUCUGAUAAAAUUGGUAGUCAAGGGAAAAAAAAACAAGCAUUUUGCACGAGAAAAGGCUUGCACGCUUUCUGUAGAGCAGCAUUCACUUUUUCCACUUCCAUUUCUCAGUAGUGCCUGAGUUCCCUGUUGGUAGACCCUAAAAGAUCCAAUGCUAUAAAACAGGCAAACGUUUAAAAACCAUUCCACUUCUAUGGACUGAAAAUACUUUAAUUGCUCAAUCCUUCUUGUAGUUUUACUCUUGCUAGCUGAAGCUGUGACCAAAUGUCUGCAAGAGUGACAUCUGCAGAGUGUAUCCAUAUCUGUGAGUUGGGCAGAUGCUUCUAAAUUACAAUCCAGCGCAGUUGUUGAUGAGUAGUGUCAUGGUUUUGUAAUAACGGGUCUCUGGAAUGAACUACAAAAACUGACUGGUAUCAAAGCUGACCAGUUGCAGGUCCAGCAGAUGUUACCAUCUCCUGUUAAUAUGCUGGAGCUCCACUGCUUCAAACAAACUUUGGAUUUGUUUGCACAGCUUGUGAUAGAAAGCAAUAGUCAUUACAUCAGAAAUAUCCCAAAUGACAGCAGCUCAGAAGACCUUAAUUAAAGACCUGUUUAUCUUCCUCAGCAGUAACUAAAUAGCCAGUCAGAAAGCACUGCAUGGAAAGCUACAGUUCAACAGAGUGCUGGCAGUAGCACAGCCAGCAGGGCUGCUCUGGAAAGGUUUGGCAGGGCUCAGAUUGAACAGCAUGCUUAGAAGGCCUAAUGACUAUCUCUGUGAAUAGGGAGAAGAGUGGGUGCAGCUGGUUGGUGACUGCAGGUCCAUGCGCUGUGAGGAAAUCCAGUCUUGUUUUACUAUUUUCUUAAAUUAAUUUUGUUGAGGAAGAAACUGAGGCAGCUGUUACACCAGGGGUACUCAGUGACUGCCUCUACAGCAGGGAUUGCUUUCCUGCCAGCUUCCCUGCCAGAAGCACUAACUUAUCUGCAGCCUCAUGGGUCUGAGUAAGUUAAUGACUAUAAAAAAUACACUGGGGACAAUAUUUCAGCAGCUGUGGACAGGCAGCUGUAUGCUCCAGAAUUGAUUUUUACAAGAAGAGCAUUUCCUUUCAGUGGGGUGUAAGUGGAAACUUCAGCCCAUGUUUGUGAAGAGGUGCCCGGAAGCACAAUAGGCUUUUUGGUUUCUGCCCAAAAUGGACAGGCUUCCAUUACACUGAAUUAGCAGAGCAAAAAAAGGAAAUGAAAGUUACAUUAUGAAAACUUAGUAGUAUUUCCCUCAAAUAUAUCUUUUCAGAAUACUUCAUGAGACUGUACGGAGCUGUAUGAAAAUACACACCUGUGGUAGAAAAGCAUUUUAUAAAUGCAGAAAAGCAAGUGGUAGGUAGUCUGGCAUAUCUUCUUUAAACAGUGGCUGGUGUUCCAAACAAAUACAUAAUCAUCCUAUAAAGUAAACAGUAGUUUGAAGGCAUUUUUAUACAAUGUGGGUGAGAGGUAUGUCGUGUUCAGCUGAAGGGAGUGGUGAGGAAAGAACUGGAAGUUUAAUGUACAGGAGAAGAAGUGCUUGUGUCUGGGCCAUGAAAGAAACAGCUCAGAGGUGCUCCAGUGAUGUGAAAGUACAUUGCACCCUCAGGGUUAACAAGACCUGGGCUGAUUGCCUCAGUAAUGCUGCUGGUAGCACGGAACUUUAAUUUGAAUGCCCAAUUUUUCUAUUUUGUCUGGAGUUCUAUUUGAAGCACGCAAUAAGGCUACUAGGAAACUGCUGGAGAUGAAUAGGAGAGAUUGGAAAUGUGGAGGGAGAGAACACGAAGGCUUUUCAUUCUCUAACGAGGGGUUUGUCCUCUGUCAGCGACCAGCACUUCUAUUUCACUUAGACCCAGCUCUCUGCACGCAGGUACAGACUCUCUUCCAUCUUUUUGGCACUCGUGUCUAUUAAAGUCAUGCCAGAAAGAGUAUAGGAGCACUGAAAAAAGCAGAGCAAGAUUACUGAUGAGAGACUUAAGUGCCUGCACUAGGAGACAGUGCUUUAAAGCUUUUUGGGAAUAACAGGCAAGGUUAGCAGAGCUGCUGAAAUUCAGUCUGCCAAUCAAGCAGUGAGAAAAGUGAGUGUACAUCUGGGCAGAAUUAGAUUAAUUGAAACAUGUAAGCAUUGUUCACACUGACAUCCACAAAUGAGCAUAGAAAAUAAUACAAGUUUUUAAACUAACUGAUGAAGGCAGCGCAGUUAGCUGGAUUGUCUUACAUAGCAACACAUGAAGAAACUGCUUGAAUUACCCUUACUACACUGGGUGCUGGAAUUGUCCUAUGAAAGUCUAAUUAAAAUUUGUUGUCAAUUGUGGUUUGCCCAGAUCUGCCUAAAUACAAUUCAGGGACCACAGUCAGAAAACACUUCAAGAAAGAAAUACAAGGCUGAAGUAGAACAUAAAUACCAAACCAGAUGGCACCUUCAGAAAUGUGUGUGUUUCCUAGAAGUACAGCUGCUGUUGCUGUGCAGCUGUGGUCUCAUCACACUGGAGCUGCAUUGAAGCUGUGCACCUAAAAUAUCAGAGUUCACUUUGUUGGGUAUUCUAAUCAAAUCUAAUAGGUUUGUUUAGUUAAAGUGUCCUAUUUACUCAUUUUUAGACAGACUAUGCCUGCUUAUAAUAAAGCAAGUGAGUAUCUUUGCAGGCUUGUAGGCUCUGCGUAUAAACAGUGUUUGAUGUGAGAGACAAAAUCUCUCUGAGUCUCUGAAGAGUCUGUACGUGCACUUAUGGAUCCAAUUUUUUCAUAUAUCCCCUAUUUUCUUACCCUGCCUGACUACCAAAGAGGUGUCCUUUGUUUCCAAGCUGAUGUCAUUUUUAGAAUAAAAGCUCUGGAAUAGUUUUGAUUCUGUUUUAGCAGAAUUCAGUUUUUACUGAAGAGCUGUAAUCUAAAACCUCUUUAUGUGAGAGGAAUACAGAUGCAGCAUUUACAAACAUAAUGUUGUCUUAACGUUUUAGGCAACUUCUGACCUCACUGGUUGAGGUGCCUGUAUGUAAAUGUGAUUGGUGUGGUUAGGUUUAAUCAAUUCAUUGUUAGCUUUGAACUCCUCAAAGGAUUCAGCAGUGCAGGAGCCAAUCAGUGUCAGUUAUCUUCAUGGUUUUUAUCAUCAUCAUGCAGCUAUGGCCCUCUGCUUUAAGGAAGGAAGGUGAAAGAAAUGGCAGCUUUCUAUUUUCAAGUAUAGAGAUGGUCUGUGCUGAUAGGCUCCAACCUGUCACUGUGUUGGUGGUGAUGCUGCUUAUUCCUACUUGAACUUCCCAGCAACACAACUGCAUUGCAUCAGUACCCCUGGGCUUGCUUUGCCAUUGUUGCUGCAUCAGUACAUUCUGGUACUGACAAACCUAAAGAUAAAGAGCAUCAGGUGUGCAGAUAGAAAUUUUAAUUAACUUUUUGAGCACGAUGUUCUUCACAGAGCUGUAAUGCUUCUUUUAGUUAUUGUUUCCUUAAAUUCCUGUACCAUAAUACUUUUUCAGAGGGAGGGAUCCCAAUGACAAGGUAGAGAAGUGGCUGAAUUAAAUGUUAAAUGUCUUAUGUGGGAAUCUUCAACAUUCCUGCCUUUUGCUUAUAACAACCCUGAGCCCUCCCAGGCAGGAAGGUGCUCUCAUGGCAGAAACUGGCUGACCCUGACAUCAAGCAGAGGGUUCUGCCAACAGCAAUCCCUCUUAAAGUCCACGUACAGUGAAAGUACAGUGCAGAUCUCAGAGCCCCUCUGAAGCAGUGCUGGGAGCAUGUGUGUGGACCAGAGAGGUGGGCAGGGUGUGGGGAAGAAGAGGAAUAACACAGCAGUUACUCACAUAAGAGCUGUCGGUGUGAGUCGGUGAUGUUUGAGUUCUCAUGCCAGAAGGGGUUGAUCAAAGGGUAGCACUUGCUCCUAACUGAUAUAGAAGGGGG